rnacentral:rRNA from 1 species
UACGUAGGUGGCAAGCGUUGUCCGGAAUUAUUGGGCGUAAAGCGCGCGCAGGCGGUCCUUUAAGUCUGAUGUGAAAGCCCACGGCUCAACCGUGGAGGGUCAUUGGAAACUGGAGGACUUGAGUACAGAAGAGGAAAGCGGAAUUCCACGUGUAGCGGUGAAAUGCGUAGAGAUGUGGAGGAACACCAGUGGCGAAGGCGGCUUCUGGUCUGUAACUGACGCUGAGGCGCGAAAGCGUGGGGAGCAAACAGG